AGUGAACGCUGGCGGUAGGCCUAACACAUGCGAGUCGAACGGCAGCACAGGAGAGCUUGCUCUCUGGGUGGCGAGUGGCGGACGGGUGAGGAAUACAUCGGAAUCUGCCCAGUCGUGGGGGAUAACGUAGGGAAACUUACGCUAAUACCGCAUACGACCUUCGGGUGAAAUAGGGUGAUCGCAAGACCUCUCGCGAUUGGAUGAGCCGAUGUCGGAUUAGCUAGUUGGCGGGGUAAUGGCCCACCAAGGCGACGAUCCGUAGCUGGUCUGAGAGGAUGAUCAGCCACACUGGAACUGAGACACGGUCCAGACUCCUACGGGAGGCAGCAGUGGGGAAUAUUGGACAAUGGGCGCAAGCCUGAUCCAGCCAUACCGCGUGGGUGAAGAAGGCCUUCGGGUUGUAAAGCCCUUUUGUUGGGAAAGAAAUCUUUCAGGCUAAUACCCUGGGAGGAUGACGGUACCCAAAGAAUAAGCACCGGCUAACUUCGUG
rnacentral:rRNA from 1 species